UUUUCCCCGAGGGGUCACUCCGUGAGUUCUUUCCCUAGGGGUCAUUUUUGUCAAUUUUGCCGUGUAAUGGCUCCCAUGUUUUGCACUAGUGAGCACUGUGCUUACCUGACUUCUCUCCUUGAUGUUAGAGGAUCUGGUUCCCAUGAUGACACGGGAUCUGAUGGCUCGCGACCCGGGCUCGCAAAAAAGAUUGGGAAAUAUAGUGCUGGCCUCUUCUGUCGCGGCGGCCGCCGCCCGCUGGCGAUAGAGCCGCCGCCCCGCUUCAGGCAUCUCCUCCCGGCCCCUCCGUCGCCUCGCCGAUGGCGGCAUGGUCGUCGUCGGCUUCGCGGGCGGCGCGGGGAGUCCCCGGCGUGUUCUCCCCGGGCGGCUCGGCCAGGACCCUCAGGUACCACCGCGACGGGGUCAAGAGGAUGGUGUAACCGCACCUCGAGUCGCCGCUGCCCCUACCGGUACCAGCGGCGGCGACCCCCGAGAGCUGCUAUUCAUGUUCUCGAUGAGCUAGCGUUGGCCUACUGCCAUCAACACUCUGUGAUGAAAUAUUCCCGUUUUCAUGUGUAAGUAAGCCUCUGUUGCUGUAAUUUCUCAUGGUUGCUUGCUGGCUUAAGAAUGCGUGGGAAUAAUUAAGCACUAUAUUUCUCUUGGGUGCUUUCACAUCUGCCAUUGUGGGUAGUCAUCAUGGAGACAAAAGGAGAUAGUAUGCUAAUCCAUUUCUUUAUUUACAUAGCAAAGUAAACGUACCCAGCUGACAUGCUAUAUCUUUAGUUCAUUGCCCUUUGCUCUUGCUGCAAGAAACCUCUACUCCAGGUCCAAAGCUUCUUUACUCCUCUGCUCCUUUGGUAUUAUACAAGAAAGGGGUAGAGCCAGAGAGCUGGAUGGGCUAGCUAGCUCUAUAUAUCAAAGCUUAAGGUACGCCACACGCCCACGCCACAAUAAGGUCGAGAAAUCUUGCGGCAUAUAGGCGUCUCAAAGAGUCCAUCUAUUCUAAGGUGUGCAAAAAUAUUCUUGAUUAGUUUAUCUAUGUCCAAUGACUAUUCCUCCUAGUUUAUGAAUUCAAUAACUUGGCCAUUCAUCUGUCCGCAUUGGUCUUGACAUGGUUCUUCUCAAAUGCCUUUUGUUCAUUUCACUCGGAUUAAUUCUGGUUUGUUUUGUUUUUUCUGCAGGGCCGUAGUGUGCGCAGUCCUCUCAACAUAUAGUCAAGUGGAAGGUUGCAGCUGAUGGUGACCCCCUUUACUAAGUCUUUUCCUCUUUGCUCUUAUAUAUGCACAAGAAACGUACAAUCCAGGUCCAAUGCUUCUUUAGAGCAUCUCUAGUAGACCCCGUAAACUGGUUAAACCCGUAAAAAAACGAGGUGCUUACAGUUUCUGUCGGAAAAAUGGCGCCUAGCAGACCCCUAAAACUUGUUCGGCCCUUAAAUUUUUUAUGGGACACGGUAAAUUCAUCCGCGAAAACUUUAUACAUACAGUUUUGAAGGCAGUAUACAGUUCAACCCGUAAACCGGUCAAACCUCGUCAGAGCAGACCCGCUGCCGUGGAACUGGCCGGAAUCUAUCUGGAACUCACCGGAAUCCGUCGCCGCACGUCGGAAAAAGCUGCCGCAUGCCGGAAUUUGCUGCCCCCUAGUCCGAAUUGCAGUUGGCUCGACCUCCACUGUCGAGGCGAGGCCGUCCAAGGGCAGGGCGGAGCAGGCCACCAGCGGCCCGAAUCGGGACUGGUCGGCACCAGAGAAGGGCGGGGCGGG
rnacentral:lncRNA from 1 species